rnacentral:lncRNA from 1 species
UAUUAGUUAAAAUAAAAGAUAUAAAGUAAAAGAAAGAAAGAAACAAAGAAGAAAAGAAACAGAAUAGCUAGAAAAGAAGCAGGGAAAGAGACGAAAACAGGGGAAGAAAAGGGGAAAGAAAAAUAAAAGGGAAAACUAAGGAUUUAAAGCUUCAAGUUAAUUGGUAAGCUAAAUUUAGCCCUUUCCUCUUCAUUUUGAUAUUUUAAAAGCUUUAAAACAAAAUUUUGUUGAAGUUAAGUGGAGGUUAUGGAAGUUCAUAGGUUUUUGAACAUGAUUCAUUUUGAACAAGUUGUUAAAUUAGGGGUUUAGUUGAUAGAAUUUUUAGUUAGAAUAGAUAAAAAGAAUGAUUUGUGAACUAAGUUGUAAGUUUUACAUAAUUGGGAUUAAGUUAUAAAAAGCCUUAAAUUAGGGUUUAUGUUGAAUAAAUGAUGGAAUUGAGGGUUAUUUGAUAGAGUUUCUAGUUAGAGUUGAUAAAAGGAUUAAAUUGUGAACUAAACUAUAAGUUUUGAAUUUUAGGGAUUAAAUUGAGGAAAAUUCGAAAUUAGUGAAAAAUGCUGAAAAAUUAGUAGAUAAAUUUGGAUUUAGAAGGAAUUUGAAUAGAAAUAGAGUGUGAAUUAAGUUAGAAAAAUAAGUAAGCUUAGUUAGAAUUAAAUUGGGAAUAAGUAGGAAUUGAAUAAAAAUUUUAUUAUUAUUAUUGUUAAUAUAAUAAUUAUUAUUAUUAUUUUUAAUGAUUAUAAUUAAUAGUGAAAAUAAUUAUUAUUUUCGUAGCUAACAAGGAAAACGAGGCAUCGGCAUCUAAAGGAAAAGAAAAGAUUGUUGAGGAGUAAACGCGUAUUCCGGGUUUGUAUUACUAUAACUUAAUCUAUUUAAUAAAUGCUAUAUUGAAAUUGUAUUCAUGAGACAUUUAAAGGAAGGUAAGUAUUAACUUUUGAAAUUAAGUAAGAAUAUGUGUAUAUUGAAUUAUAUGUGAAUUGAAAUAAUAGAUGUUUUGUAUUGAUUGAAUAUUUGAAAUUGUUGUGGAAAUGAAUUCGAAAUAGGAAAAGUAAAAUAAUACCCUAUUAACUUAUCGGACUAGAUUGGAUACAAAUGGCAUGCCAUAGGAUUUGUGAUGUGAUGAGGAGAUUUGUAGUUCGGCCGAGAAGAUGACUAUGUUAUUAAAUGCUUCGGUUUAUCCGAAGAGGCAUUAAAUGCCUUAUUGGUGUGUUUGGGAUGUUAUGAUAUACUGAUGUGUUAUGGAGGAUUUAAAUUAUUCCGGGUGUGUUUAGGUUGGAUAUUUUGGUGUGUUUGGGUGGAAUCCGCGUAUCUGUCAGAGUCCGAGCCUUGUUAAUAGGGUAAAUAAUUGAAAUGGAAAUUUGAAAAUGAGAUUAGUUGAUUUGACACUAUUGAAAAAUAUGAGAAAGAAUGUAUGGUAUAAAUUAUGAAUUGAUUUAGUAUGUAAAUAUUUAAAUAUAUAAAUUUAAGAUUUAUGGAAUGAUAUAUGAAUAUUUAUAUUUAGUUUAAAGUGAUUUUUUUUAAAGACUAUGGUCAAUAUUUGAAAUUUUAUUAUUAUUAAAUAGUUUAAUUUAUAGUAAUACCACUGAGUAUAAAAUACUCAUCGUACGGUUGUUUCCGUGCGUAGGUUGAAAAGGGGUUAGAGUCUCGGUUCAGCAUCCAGGACAAUCCCGACUCCGACAUAAAGAUUUUGGUGAUGUUUUCUUCCUUUAAGAGAAAGUGGCAUGUACAUAGGAUUUAUAAUAGUUAUUUUGGCAUGUUAUAUAGUUUUGUUGUAAAGUAAGAUAUUAUGUGUUUUGAUGAUUAUAUUAGAAAAAUGGUAUAAGUUUUUUUUUUAGCAUUGGUAUCAAGUUGAAAUGGCUUAGUUAGUUUUAUGUGUUAAUUAGAAAUGAUAAUAGGAUUUUAUUUACUUAAGUUGUUAUGUCUAUAUGUCAAGUAGGAUUAAGUAUAUAAAUGCCUUGGUUGAAAUACUGAAAUUGAGUUGGUUAUGUUUGAAAUUUUGCAGGGGUUUAAUGUAAAAAUAAGUCGAAAUGUUGCCGAAAUUUUUAUAAAAAAAUGAAUGAAAUCAAUUAGUACAAAUUUAUAACAAUUUAUGAAUUAUUUUAAUAUGUUGGUUAUUUAUUUAGAAUUAUUUGUAAAUUGUUUGAUAUGUCCGGUAAUGCCUCGUAAUCCUGUUCCGGCGACGGUUUGGGGUUAGGGGGUGUUACAAUUAUCAUCAUCAAUUUCAGUUCAAAAACAGACAUAGAAGAGAGCUUAAGCUGGUUCUUCAAUUUUUUCUUCAUGUGAGUUCAAUUCUUACCCGUUUUUAUGUUUUUGAGAUUAUUACAAUUAGGUCCAACUAAAUCUUAUCUUAGUUUUUGAUUUUAUUGAAAAUUUUGGAAGUUGUCAUUGAUUAGUUUAUAUGAUUUUAGUUAUUAAAUGAUGAAUUUGAGAUGUUGAUGGGUAGUUUAAAGUAUUUUGUUAAGGAAUUUUGAUGAAAUUGUAAUUUAGGGAUUAAAUUGAAAAGAUAGAAAAUUCAUGAAAAAAAUUCUAAAUUUUAUGAAAUACAUGGGCUGUUAUUGUGAUACAUGAAAAUCGGCUAGGCUAGGAAUAAGGAUUAAAUUGUAUGAAUUUUAUUUUCCGAGCCUAGGCAUAAAAUUGUAAUUUAUUAAAAGUAUAGGGGUAAAAUAGAAAUUUUGCCAGAUAUGUAUUGAGUAUGAAUUGUAUUAAAAUAUAAAUUUUUCCAGAUAUGUAUUGAGUUGAAUUGAGUAUGAAUUGUAUUAAAUUGAGUUAAAUUCAUUUAUAUAGAUUCGGAUAGACCAAAUACGAAGUUAGAACGAGGAAAAGAAAAAGUAUUGGACUAGUAGCUUACAAGUCUACGAACAUUUGUCGAGGUAAGUUUGUGUAACUAAAUUGUAUGCUUAUAUGUUUAAAUUGAAUGUUAUGUUUGUGAAAUGUAUAAUUAUCAUGUAUAAGUAUUGAUCACAUAUCCAAAGAUAUCUGACAAGUACCAAAUCUUUUUUGAACGUAAGAAAUUUGAUGGAUACAAAUGACAUUGUCAUUAAGGGUUCCCGAUUUGUUGUGGCCCUACAUGUGUUGCGGACUCACCACAGCUCUUAUGAGCAUCCCGAUAUAUGGCUCUCUUGAAUUUCCCGUUAUUUGGCUCUCACGAGCUUUCUGAUACUUAGCUCUCACAAGCUUCCCGAUAUAUGGCUCUUAUAAGCUUCCUGAUUAAUGGCUCUCUUGAGCUUCCCGAUAAAUGGCUCGCAUGAGCUUCCCAUUAUACAGAUCACAUGAGCUUCCUGUUACAUGACUCGGAAGAGCUUCCCGAUUACAUGUCCGUAUGGGCAUACCUAUAUAUGAAUUGACGGAUUAUAUAUUUGUACACUUCGUGUGUACUACCCGUGUAUCCAUCGAAAUUAUAAAUGAUUCAACAGGCAAAGUUCUGACAUUAAACAAUAUAAAUUUGAAAUGAAUUAUUAUGAGUAAAUACUUAAAAUACAUGGAUCUGAUUUAUACAUGUUAUAUGGACAUUUGAUGUGGAAAGUAUAUGUAUAUGGAAAUUUGAUUAUUGAUGACCUUAUACAUGUUUCUUGAUGUUUAUAUGAAAUACAUGUCUAACACAGUUGAUGAGAAUAUGUGUUAGGGCUUUUGGUCAAUUUGGUUUGAAUAUGAUUUGUAUGAUUACCUUAAUUGUGAUUAAUUGGUAAGUUAAAUUCCAUGUUAUAUGAACUUACUAAGCAUUAAAUGCUUACUCUAUUUUAUUCUUUCUAUUUUAUAGUAAUUCGGAAGCUCGUUGGGUUGAAAGCUUGGUGGAGAUAUCUCACACUAUCCAUCAGCUCAUUUCGGUAUAUAUAUAACAAACUAAAAUUUGGUUAUAAUGGCAUGUAUAAGCUAAAUUUGGCCAAUGAUGGCAUGUAUGUGUUUGGUUGAAAUUAGUCAUUGGUAUGGCUUGUGAUUGGUACAUUUUGAUAUGCAUGUAUAUAUAUAAGGCCUUAACAUGUUUGAUGUGUGUUUUAAAUGGAUGAAUGAUGGAAAUCACAUAGGCAUAUUGACGAGUAGUUUGAGAUAGUAUAAUUAGUAAAAUAUGCAUAUAUGUGUGUACGGUUAUUUUGGUAAGUUUGGAUUAUUGAUCAUAUGUGAUAAUGCGUUAUGUAUUAAGCUUGAUUUUGACUUGGAUUGAAAGUCUUGUUACGGCUUAUGGGUGUGCAAAUUGAUGUAUUUAGGUUGAAAUCAAAAUGGGCGAGAAAUGUGGCUUGGAAAAUGACCUAUUUUCGUCCACACGGGCAUGUGUCCCCUGCACCUUAAAAUUUUUUUUGAUGAUUUUUGAAAAUUUUCCUAAGUACUUGGUUUAGUCCUGACUUAUUUCUAAUGCGUAUUUUGGGCCUUGAUAGCUUAUAUAAGG